rnacentral:rRNA from 1 species
CCAGAGAAUUUAGCAGAGAUGCUUUAGUGCCUUCGGAACUCUGAGACAGGUGCUGCAUGGCUGUCGUCAGCUCGUGUUGUGAAAUGUUGGGUUAAGUCUCGCAACGAGCGCAACCCUUAUCCUUUGUUGCCAGCACGUAAUGGUGGGAACUCAAAGGAGACUGCCGGUGAUAAACCGGAGGAAGGUGGGGAUGACGUCAAGUCAUCAUGGCCCUUACGAGUAGGGCUACACACGUGCUACAAUGGCGCAUACAAAGAGAAGCGACCUCGCGAGAGCAAGCGGACCUCAUAAAGUGCGUCGUAGUCCGGAUUGGAGUCUGCAACUCGACUCCAUGAAGUCGGAAUCGCUAGUAAUCGUAAAUCAGAAUGUUACGGUGAAUACGUUCCCGGGCCUUGUACACACCGCCCGUCACACCAUGGGAGUGGGUUGCAAAAGAAGUAGAUAGCUUAACCUUCGGGAGGGCGUUUACCACUUUGUGAUUCAUGACUGGGGUGAAGUCGUAACAAGGUAAGCGUAGUGCU